ensembl:lincRNA
GCGUGCGCUCAGCCCAGCGUGAGCGGCACCUGCUAGUCCGGGCUCGCCGAGGAGGCCGCCUCGCCGGGCUCUCACCGCCGCGCCCGCCCGAGCGGCUCAGAGGGCUUCGAGGGCUCCGAGGUCGCCCAGCAGCCGCGGUGGCCCCGCUGCCUGCAAGUCCGCCUGGCUCCGAGUCACGUGUCAGUGCCCGAGGCAGAGACUGAGAAAAAAACGCGCUUCAUUCCUUCUUCCACCGCCAUACUGUAUUUUCCUAAAUCUCAUUUUUAUUCCAACAUUUUACUCCCGCUCGUGGAAGGUUUUUCUGGAAAAAAAAAAUGAAGUGCGGUUUGGUUUCCUUGUCAACGGAGGAUGAAGUGAACAGCACAACAGCUCGCAGAGAGCAG